AUGACCUGGGUGCCCUUCUACCUCCUGCCCCUCCUGGUUCAACACAGACCCCAUCUACAUCUUCUUCCCUGCGAGGCUCGGCUGAGCAGUGACCACAGCUCAUACUACAUUGAGUGGUACCAACAGAGAGUAGGGCAGGCCCCUAGGUAUCGGAUGAAGCUGACCAGUGACGGAAGCGUCACCAAGGGGGAUGGGAUCCCCGACCGCUUCUCAGGCUCCAGCUCUGGGGCUGACCGCUACCUGACCAUCGCCAACAUCCAGUCUGAGUACGAGUGGUGUCAACUAUAA